rnacentral:piRNA from 1 species
UACAGAUCUAUUUAGUGUGUUUUAAUGGC